UCUAGUUCUAGAUCUAGAUCUCUACCUAAAGAUAAAGAUGAGAGAGAACGUUGCAUAAAAGCAAUCCCACGCGACAAUAUUAUACCCGAUACUGCAAACACUGUUGUUUUUGUAUUAAACAUUUACCAGAUGGAUUUGAAACUAUUUCUGUGAAAGGAAGAUUAAGACAAAGAAAACCAUCCAUCGCUAUUUUCUAAUUUUCUCAAAAGUUUAAUCCCAACACCGGUGCCCUUAGCAAGAACAACAUGUAGAGCUAGAUCUAGAUCUAGAAUCUAGAUCUAGGCUAGUUAUUCAGUCAGAUCAGUUGAAAGGGGCCAGUUAGAAGAAUAUUCACAAAAAGACUUUGUUUCUUUUGAUUCAUUGUGUUCAUUUGUAGGAGCCAUUGUGUGACAAGGUAGGCUAUGCAGAGUGAAAUAUUUAUGGACAUCUCACAGUAUUAUGGUUUUGAGAUGAGACAAGACAAGUGCUUUGUCAUGAGCAAUGUUUUGCUAAACAAUUUCUGCAAGAUAUCCAAUCCACCAUCUGAGAAAGAACCUAAACAGAAAGUCCUAAAGCUGUCUUCAUAAACAAUAGUACGGAACGCUGAGGAGGCCUGAUAAUUAUAGUAAGCCGUGAUCUAUCCCUAAGCCUAGCUACACGCAGGAGUAGCGUGUCAUGCGCCUGCCUGCCGCAUGGCCAUGAGAGAGGACUGCGGUGUGCUGGUCGUGGAUACUUGUAGCAAGGGAAACUACCCAUGAAUAAGUACAGCUGGAUAAUCGUCUAUCUUCUGACCAUUUUGACCGCCCGGUACUGCCAGCCUAGACGCUCCACUACCACAUGCAAACCCCCAAGCCCCAACGCUGUCUACACAUGACCGCCAAUCGACUCUCCAAACCAGCUCCCUCACACAAGCACUAACAAAAGACUCAAGCCCUUGAUCGACCAACUCGACCAGAAGCUGCCCCUAUGGUCUUUUCUACGCAGGACAAUGUUCAUGUACAUGUACGUCAAAUUCUACACUUAAGUCCACAUGUAGCCUCUACCUCUAGUACCGUUCUUUACGAGCCCCACGCUGUUACCUACUGUCUCCCCUCUUUCUCAUUAUUCUCUUAAAUAUAACUUGACCUCUACGAACCCUGGUGGCCAUACACCUGCUAAUUCUUACGGACUAACGAAAUCAGACUCUGACGGCGUCUGCCCUCGUUUACCUCCUCUGCAAACUGUAUGCUCAUCCCAAGCACGACCACUCCUCACGCCCAACACAUCGUCCCACUACUCCUCUCCGGGAAAUGUCAUCGACCUCUCCUCACUACCCUAAUCAUCUGCACAAGUUAAACUUUUAUCCAAGUGAAGAGAUUUUGCCCUACCCAAAACAAUUUUAACCUCUUCUAAUUCAUACAAGAUACAAAAAAUUACCCGAGACGUUGCAGGUUUUUGGAGUACUUCUCAGAACCAAACUCUUCUCCUUCUUCUGUUAUACUGCCCAAAUCAUAUUGGACUCCCCCCUCCAGGGCGUAAUGCUGCCUUUGACUUCUAUUGCGAUAACCUAGAAAAAUCAGCAGUCCAUAACUGAAACACUUGCAGACUACCGCCAAAGGCAACAAUUAUUUAUCCCGUGCAGAAAGGUCAGCGAUUUGCGAGCUCAUUGAUAACACCAAUCUAACUAUCCGUGAAGUUGACAAGGGUCGCUCCAUUGUGGUCUUGGACACCACUGACUACAACAACACCAUCUCAUCCAUGUUGAACAACCCUUCUUUCUAUAAACCCCUCAGCUCUGACCCCACUUCUUCUCAUUUUUUAGCGCCAUUCAGGACCAAAUCCACCAUCUCAAAUAUCUCAACUUAAUAUCCCCGGAAUUGUCCAAAUAUAUUCUUCACGGGAAGGUGUCGUGCCCCUACUUUUAUGGCUAACCAAAGAUCCACAAGUUAGCAAACAAAAAGUCCAAAUCUCCCUCCCCCCCAACUUAGAGGCAUUAUAUUCCAAAUAAAUGGUCCUACCGUCAUGGCUUCCUAUUGGCUGGACAGCAUCCUCAAACCCAUUGUCCCUGACUUCUGUGGUAUCCCCUGGGUGAAAGAUAACCACCACGUUCUCCAAAAAAUAGAUAGAAACCUAUACCUAUCUAAAUAUUCCACUCUUUUCGGACAAGCUCACUUUGGAGACCUCUGAACUGAUUACUAAAGGUCCUAUCAAUAUGAAAACUGGCUAGCUGUAAAAUUUCGGGUUUUAUCUCCCUUUUGCCUUUAAAAAAAUCGUCUUGGUAGCAUAGUUUUGAAAUGUGUAAGGAAAUAAAACUGUAAACAAAAUUCAAGAUGGCCACCGUUUCCAUGGUAACCCAUGAAUUAAUAAAUCGUUUGAAUGUGUGGAUUUUCAUUUCUCGUACGUAUCUUGUUGUGCAAUAAAGU
rnacentral:lncRNA from 1 species